UCGAACGGAAAGGCCCUGCUUGCAGGGUACUCGAGUGGCGAACGGGUGAGUAACACGUGGGUGAUCUGCCCUGCACUUCGGGAUAAGCCUGGGAAACUGGGUCUAAUACCGGAUAGGAGCCAUUUUUAGUGUGAUGGUUGGAAAGUUUUUUCGGUGUAGGAUGAGCUCGCGGCCUAUCAGCUUGUUGGUGGGGUAAUGGCCUACCAAGGCGGCGACGGGUAGCCGGCCUGAGAGGGUGGACGGCCACAUUGGGACUGAGAUACGGCCCAGACUCCUACGGGAGGCAGCAGUGGGGAAUAUUGCACAAUGGGCGCAAGCCUGAUGCAGCGACGCCGCGUGGGGGAUGACGGCCUUCGGGUUGUAAACUCCUUUCGCUAGGGACGAAGCUUUUUGUGACGGUACCUAGAUAAGAAGCACCGGCUAACUACGCGCCAGCAGCCGCGGUAAUACGUAGGGUGCGAGGCGUUGUCCGGAAUUACUGGGCGUAAAGGGCUCGUAGGUGGUUUGUCGCGUCGUCUGUGAAAUUCCGGGGCUUAACUCCGGGCGUGCAGGCGAUACGGGCAUAACUUGAGUACUGUAGGGGUAACUGGAAUUCCUGGUGUAGCGGUGAAAUGCGCAGAUAUCAGGAGGAACACCGAUGGCGAAGGCAGGUUACUGGGCAGUUACUGACGCUGAGGAGCGAAAGCAUGGGUAGCGAACAGGAUUA
rnacentral:rRNA from 1 species